rnacentral:rRNA from 1 species
GGCGGACGGGUGAGUAACGCGUGGAUAACCUGCCUCAUACAGGGGGAUAACAGUUAGAAAUGACUGCUAAUACCGCAUAAGCGCACAGGACCGCAUGGUCCGGUGUGAAAAACUCCGGUGGUAUGGGAUGGAUCCGCGUCUGAUUAGCUGGUUGGUGAGGUAACGGCCCACCAAGGCGACGAUCAGUAGCCGGCCUGAGAGGGUGAACGGCCACAUUGGGACUGAGACACGGCCCAAACUCCUACGGGAGGCAGCAGUGGGGAAUAUUGCACAAUGGGGGAAACCCUGAUGCAGCGACGCCGCGUGAGUGAGGAAGUAUUUCGGUAUGUAAAGCUCUAUCAGCAGGGAAGAAAAUGACGGUACCUGACUAAGAAGCCCCGGCUAACUACGUGCCAGCAGCCGCGGUAAUACGUAGGGGGCAAGCGUUAUCCGGAUUUACUGGGUGUAAAGGGAGCGUAGACGGCUAGUCAAGUCAGAAGUGAAAGCCCAGGGCUCAACCUUGGGACUGCUUUUGAAACUGAGUAGCUAGAGUGCAGGAGAGGUAGCGGAAUUCCUA